rnacentral:rRNA from 1 species
GACGAACGCUGGCGGCGCGCUUAACACAUGCAAGUCGUGCGGUGUCGAAGGCAAGUCUUACGACAAGCCUUCGACACAGCGGCGAACGGGUGAGUAACACGUGAGUAGCUGUCCUAAGGAGGGGGAUAACGCCUGGAAACGGGUGCUAAUACCCCAUAUGCCUCGCAAGAGGUGAAAGUGUACUUGUUACAGCCUUAGGGUGUGCUCGCGGCCUAUCAGCUAGUUGGUGAGGUAACGGCUCACCAAGGCUAAGACGGGUAGCCGGCCUGAGAGGGUGUACGGCCACACUGGAAUUGAGAUACGGUCCAGACUCCUACGGGAGGCAGCAGUGGGGAAUCUUGGGCAAUGGGCGAAAGCCUGACCCAGCGACGCCGCGUUGGGGAUGAAGCCCUUCGGGCGUAAACCCAUGUUGUAGGGGACGAAGAAGUAGACGGUACCCUACGAGAAAGCCCCGGCCAACCUACGUG